UACGUGAAACCGUUUAAGCAUAAACCUGAGAAAUCCGAAAGUUUGAACGAGGAGAUUCAGUGUGUCUCGUCGGGUGCGUGUAGCGCUCGGUAGACAGCGGUCGUUUGCGGCCGUUGCUCCUUGUGUUGCCGUUGCUUGGCGAACGCAUGCACUUCUCCUCCAGUAGGACGUCGCGACCCGUUGGGUGUCGGUCCGAGGCCCGCAGUGGAGCCCGUUCGUCGGUUUCGGCCGUUCGACUAGCUCGCGUUCGGCCCGAUGCAAGCGCGGCCGGUUACCUGAUCGUUGGACUUGUGCCGAUCUCGGGGCCGGUCGACUGUUGGUGUCGGUGUUCCCGGACAGACUCUGCACACGCCUGUCUGUGGCGCUAUAGCUUUGGAUAAUUUCAGGGCCCGUCUUGGAACACGGACCAAGGAGUCUAGCAUGUGCGCGAUUCACUGAGACUAUCGAAUCCUAAUGGCGUAAUGAAAGUGAAGGCCGAGCCUGCUCUGUCGAGGGAAGAUGGGUGACUUAACCGUUGCCUCGCAUUCCCGGGCCGUCUCAUUCUCAUUGCGAGUAGAGGAGCACCUAGAGCGUACAUGCUGGGACCCGAAAGAUGGUGAACUAUGCCUGGUCAGGACGAAGUCAGGGAAAACAUUAACUGGAGGUCCGUAGCGAUUCUGACGUGCAAAUCGAUCGUCGGAACUGGGUAUAGCUGCGAAAGACUAAUCGAACCAUC
rnacentral:rRNA from 1 species